GAUCCUGGCUCAGGACGAACGCUGGCGGCGCGCCUAACACAUGCAAGUCGAACGAGAGAGAGGAAGCUUGCUUCCUCAAUCGAGUGGCGAACGGGUGAGUAACGCGUGAGGAACCUGCCUCAAAGAGGGGGACAACAGUUGGAAACGACUGCUAAUACCGCAUAAGCCCGACAGGUCGGUCAUCGACCAGAGGGAAAAGGAGCAAUCCGCUUUGAGAUGGCCUCGCGUCCGAUUAG
rnacentral:rRNA from 1 species